AGAGUUUGAUCCUGGCUCAGAUUGAACGCUGGCGGCAUGCCUAACACAUGCAAGUCGAACGGAAACGAUGGGAGCUUGCUCCCAGGCGUCGAGUGGCGGACGGGUGAGUAACACGUGGGAACUUGCCCUUCGGCGGGGGAUAGCCCGGGGAAACCCGGAUUAAUACCGCAUACGCUCUACGGAGCAAAGUAGGCCUCUGAUUCAAGCUUACGCCGAAGGAUGGGCCCGCGCCCGAUUAGCUAGUUGGUGAGGUAAUGGCUCACCAAGGCUUCGAUCGGUAGCUGGUCUGAGAGGACGAUCAGCCACACCGGAACUGAGACACGGUCCGGACUCCUACGGGAGGCAGCAGUGGGGAAUAUUGGACAAUGGGCGAAAGCCUGAUCCAGCAAUGCCGCGUGUGUGAAGAAGGCCUGCGGGUUGUAAAGCACUUUCAACAGGGAAGAAAAAGGUAGAGUUAAUACCUCUGCCCUUGACGUUACCUGUAUAAGAAGCACCGGCUAACUUCGUGCCAGCAGCCGCGGUAAUACGAAGGGUGCAAGCGUUAAUCGGAAUUACUGGGCGUAAAGCGCGCGUAGGCGGCCAAGCAAGUCGGACGUGAAAGCCCCGGGCUUAACCUGGGAAUUGCGCCCGAUACUGCUUGGCUAGAGUGUGGGAGAAAGGAGAGGUGGGAAUUCCCGGUGUGUAGCCGGUUGAAAUGCGUAGAUAUCGGGGAGGAACACCAGUGGCGAAGGCGCUCUCUGGACCACUACUGACGCUGAGUGCGAAGCGUGGGGAGCGAACAGGAUUAGAUACCCUGUAGUCACGCUGUAACGAUGAGACUAGCCCGUUGGGAGGGUCUGCCUCUCGGUGGCGCAGCUAACGCAUUAAGUUCUCCGCCUGGGGAGUACGGCCGCAAGGUUGAAACUCAAAGGAAUUGACGGGGGCCCGCACAAGCGGUGGAGCAUGUGGUUUAAUUCGAUGCAACGCGAAGAACCUUACCUGCCCUUGACAUCCUCGGAACUUGUCAGAGAUGACUAGGUGCCUUCGGGAACCGAGUGACAGGUGCUGCAUGGCUGUCGUCAGCUCGUGUCGUGAGAUGUUGGGUUAAGUCCCGCAACGGGCGCAACCCUUGUCCCUAGUUGCCAGCACAUAAUGGUGGGAACUCUAGGGAGACUGCCGGUGAUAAACCGGAGGAAGGUGGGGAUGACGUCAAGUCAUCAUGGCCCUUAUGGGCAGGGCUACACACGUGCUACAAUGGCCGGUACAGAGGGUUGCCAAGCCGCGAGGUGGAGCUAAUCUCAAAAAGCCGGUCGUAGUCCGGAUCGGAGUCUGCAACUCGACUCCGUGAAGUCGGAAUCGCUAGUAAUCGCAGAUCAGCAUUGCUGCGGUGAAUACGUUCCCGGGCCUUGUACACACCGCCCGUCACACCAUGGGAGUCGGCUGCUCCAGAAGUGAGUAGCCUAACCGUAAGGAGGGCGCUUACCACGGUGUGGUCAAUGACUGGGGUGAAGUCGUAACAAGGUAGCCGUAGGGGAACCUGCGGCUGGAUCACCUCCUUA
rnacentral:rRNA from 2 species